GGAGCGGGGCGGGCGGCGAGCGCGGCAUCGGGGGCCGUGACAGGGCUAGGGCUUAAUAAAGCCUCCGGGAGGAUGAUUCUGUAAUAAGACAACCACAGCAGAACUCCCUGUCUCUCUGAAGGUGCAACAAGCUACACUCCUGCCGGAAAUAGCACCUAUGAAAUAGUAGCUGUUAUUAAUGAAACAGUUGUACAGUA